GGAAGGGACAAUCUAGGUGGGGAUGGUGACGCGAGCGCGAGGAGGCGCUGUGGGGACUGGAGAACGGCGUCAGAGAGCCGAGAUUCCCUGGGGGCAUGCAGUGCUGGAGACAAACUAUCAUUCAUUCUGUCAUAGAUUGUUGGAAGAAUACCUCAUCCAAGGUCCAAGACAGAAAAGCUGUGAAAGACAGAAGCAAAAGAAGGGAGCGAAGUGAAGGCACGGAAAGACCUUUCUCAAACAUCACUGGACCUCCACUUGUGUUGUGACCACCCGUACCCAGGUGCUCUCAAAAGCAGCUGGCUGUAUUAGAAUCACCUUGACGGUGACUUAAAAAAAUAGUUAUCUCUUGGGGGUGCUUGGCUGGCUCAGUCAGUGGAGCGUGCAACUCUUGAUCUCAGGGUUGUGGGUUCGAGCCCGGUGUUGGGUGUGAUUGCGUACAAAUAAAAAAUCUUAAAAAAAAACCCAAAA